rnacentral:rRNA from 1 species
CGAAAGCCUGACGGAGCAACGCCGCGUGAGGGAUGAAGGCCUCUGGGCUGUAAACCUCUUUUAUCAAGGAAGAAGAUCUGACGGUACUUGAKGAAUAAGCCUCGGCUAAUUCCGUGCCAGCAGCCGCGGUAAUACGGGAGWGGCAAGCGUUAUCCGGAAUUAUUGGGCGUAAAGCGUCCGCAGGCGGCYUYGUAAGUCUGUUGUCAAAGCGUGGAGCUUAACUCCAUUUCGGCAAUGGAAACUGYNAGGCUUGAGUGUGGUAGGGGCAGAGGGAAUUCCCGGUGUAGCGGUGAAAUGCGUAGAUAUCGGGAAGAACA